GGGGAAUGUACCAACUCCGGGGUUGGACCGGAAGUGCUAACGGGGAGCGGCCAAUACGAAUUGUUGUCGCUGAUGGCGUUCACGGUCACCCAAGAUGGACAUCGAAAGAGUGAAGUUUUUCCCGUUCUGUGGACAACAUGCGGGCCGCUUUACGCGGUUUUGUUUGUCGUGCGGUCAGUCUUUAGAGUUUUUAAUUGGCGUGGACCAGUCGGAAGGACCAGAUAUGCUGCAGCGGUGCUGAGAUAUUUUAGUGAGGGACACUCGUACGCUGUAAUCGCGGACAUGAUGUCAUGUGUACACGGUGUUCAUCUCAGCUUGAGGUCUCUGAAAAGCAAAGUGAAUGAAGCCGGGUUGUAUCGCAGAAAGGAUUACUCCUCUACAAACGCCAUAAUUAGGGCCAUCCGACUGGAACUUCGCGGACCUGGACAGCUGUUUGGCUAGCGCGUGAUGUGGCAGGUACUCAAACAAAAGUACGAUCUGCGAGUGAAGAGGGAUCACGUGAUGAAUUUGUUCCGGUUUGUCAGAAGAGCUUACCACAUCAGGGCCGGUUCUAGGCAGGCAUAUGAGGGGGCACUCAGAAAUGUGAAGGGGGCAGCAUGCGUACACGUCAUCCUCCAGCACUUUGUUCCCCCUGUGCUUAUAGCAAGUGUUUUCUUCAUUGAAUUGGGUUGUUAGCUUUGUGUCCAACCCCAACCUGGAGAAGUGGACUGCACUUUGUCAGGCCUCUACCUCCAGACCUGUCCAACCUGGGUGUCCCACCUGAAGACUAAGCUCCUGCUUUGCCAUGGUCGUGUGCGGUACCAGGCAGGAUUAAAUGAUCUUAAUGUUGUACCAAAUGCCCGCUUUGGGUAACUACCCAGCGUUGGCUGAGAUGGUGAUUUAAGUCACCUGGCAGCUGAGCAGGCUGCUUUGGGGCAGCACUUGUUGGGGAAGGUACAGGAGAAGCAGCGCUUGCUGAUGCUAAAGUAGCAGUUAUGCUAGCUGCUGUCUCUGAUGUGCUAGCAGCAGCAUCGUUGCCUCUACUAUCAAUACAGGCAGGAGCAGCACUGCGCUUUUUAAAAGCUCUGAAAAACAGAUGCAUUACACAGCAUUAACUUUCUCUUUGUGGGCUGCCGGAAGCUGGAGAGGAAAAUAAGUAAGCUGGCUUUGUAAAAACCGCUGUGAUGAUUUGAAACAAAACAGUGCGGAACUACGCUGCUGCUUCUGCUGCGUUCAAUUACACUCGGAACUUGGAGAGAUCGGGGUCGGAAAUCCCGACUUCCGAGGUAGAUGUGUUUCACUGCGCAACCUCGGAAAACAUGACUGGCCACAGUAAGUUGAUGUUUGUUUGGGUGUCUUUCGAGCAUUUAAAAUACUUCUAAGGAAGUACAUCAGCUACUUAAGGGAGGGAGGAAAAGAGAAACGUCAUAUUCCGAGUGUAAGUGAACGCAGAAAGUCCGUUGCCGUGCUGACACCUGAAGAUACCCGGCGGAGGGACAGACAGGUGACAGGAGUCUGAUACUGUGUCGUGUCCAUUUUCGGCGGAUUUUUCCGCUAUUGUAGAUAUUUUGUCAACUUGUAAUAUAUUAAUUUUGUGAAGUUUUUUCAACUUCCCCCUCUUGCCCCUGCGUAGAGCCGGCCUCGUACCACAUACAGCUUGAGCCUUUGGGUUUGGCUCCUCCAGGCUGUCUGGAUGGAUCACGUCAAGUGCUGUGGCUUGCAUGUGGACGACAGAUCAGGACCCAGGUGUGAUGGUCCGCUGUUCUGUCUUGUGUGCGAAACCUUGGUGUCACUCCCGUGAGACUGAGGCCUGAUUGCGGCACGGAGGACGGGAUCAUGGCGUCCAGCCACAUGUUCGGCUCGUCCACAACCAGAGGACAGUCCAUGUUCACAACGGGGAGUUUCUGUAGUGUCAGUUCUGGAUGGAGCCAUUGGCAGGCCUUAGAGACGCCGGGUACGUCAUGAGCGUCGGUGUCUGCUGAGAUGUUCUUCAGAAGGACUUGGAGGAGUGUGUGACACUGUGGAUCGGUCACAGGACUCGGCCCUCCAGAACAGCUUCACGUCCAGUGAGUGUACCACUUACCACACAGGUUUGGCUCCAGAGACUGUGGAUUUAAAAUUGAACAGGCUGAAGUGGUUGCCUUUCCUGAGGCUCUCCUGACCAGAGCUCCAUGUGGGGGCGCACACGUGCAGGAGUACGUAGACUUGGUCAUGGAGCACGGUCAUUUACAGAAGCCAGAGUACUGCAACUGAACUGUGUCGAAGACUGAAAGAAACUGCUCAGCUGUGAAUGGUUUAUUGUAUUAGUGGAACAUGUACACAAAGUGUGUGAAUUUAUCACAGCUUAAUUAUUUCAAAGUGGGAAACGUGAAUAAAAGCAAAAUAAUCAGCAGUUAUUACAUUUUUGAAUGGAGAACAAAAUCUCUUGAAAUACUUGUUUUUUCAUUUAAAAUCUAAAACAGUGAUUCAUAAACAGACAACAGUUUGAGGAUCAUGGAUCUAAAACAACUGACUGAACAAAAAAACAUGCUCAUUUUAAACACUUU